CGAUAAAGUUUGAUCUUGGCUUGAUAAUUUGCUUAUCAAUGACUGAACAUGUAAAUAUUUGUUUGAUCUUUGUUUUUUCUUAAUGAAUGGAGGAUUUAUUUAUUCGCAGUUCUUUAUUUUAGUUAUUAUAUAUUUUUAGAUCUAGUUAUUUGACGUAGCUCCGACUAAUAUUGUGCCAGCAGUCGCGGUUAUACAAUAGGGGCAAGUAAAUCUUUUUGGUUUUAUAUUUAAAUUUAUUUUUUGUUUUUAAUUUUUAUAUUUUUGAGUGGAAUCGGAAUUUAAAUUAAAAUCGAUUUUUUGAUUAAAUAUGAAAGUUCAAAUUUAAACUAGGAUUAGAUACCCUAUUAUUGUGUUCUGUAAAUUAGAAAUCUUAGUAUUAAUAGUUAGGUUCUUUAAAUUAAAAGGAUUUGGCGGUAAUUUAGUCUUUUCAGAGGAACCUGUCCUGUAAUCGACAAUCCACGAUAAAUUUUACUUUAUUAAUUGCUUGUAUAUCUCUGUCAUUGGGUGUUUUAUCAGAAUAUUUUCUUUUAUUUUUAUAAAGUUAAUGUCAGGUCAAGGUGCAGCUGAUAAUAAAGAAGAGGUGGGUUACAUUAAAUAUAUUUAUGAAUAAGUAUAUGGAAAUAGCUUGGAAAUUGGAUUUGAUAGUAAUUUGUAUUAAAAUAUAAUUUUGACUUUAGCUCUAAAUUAUGCACACAUCGCCCGUCACUCUCAUUAAGGUGAGAAAAGUCGUAACAAAGUAGGUCUACCGGAAGGUGGGCCUGGUUAGUU
rnacentral:ncRNA from 1 species